AAGUUUACAAAACAAAACACAUUUCUUGCAAAAAGAUUUACAAGAUAUUGAAAAAAAUAUAUAUCCUAAAUAUCAAGAGAUUGUAUCCAACAUUUCAAUGCAAAAAGCUAGUCUAAAUGAAAACUGCAAGAUAUUGAUAACAGCAAUCCACGAACAUGGAAAAGAAGUGCACAAAGAAAUAGAUAAUAUAAUGCAGAAACUGAAAUCGGAUCUUGAUGAAAUAGAAUCAAAAUAUCUUGAUGUUCUAAGCAAACAAGAAGGUGAAAUAACACACAAUAUUUCUAAAAUCAUACAGAGCAUUGCUGAUCUGAAACAAUUACUGGAUUCAAAUGAUAUCAGCCUUGUGUCUGCCUACAAAUCAAGGAAUGCUGAAUUCAGAAGACUGCCUCCUAAACUCAGUGUUUCCUUACCAAAUGUCAGAGCAUCAACAAAGAACAGCUUUGUAAAGAGGUUGGGUUUGUAUCAACGUUGACUUUAAAAACAGAAGAACAUGGCUACACAAUGGAUUCUUCUGAUGUUGAGCCCUCUCCUUUUGACCGACGGCUUAUUUGUGUGCCACGAAUCAUUACACAAAUGGAAACUGCUUAUGAAUAUCCGUCUGGAUUAUGCACUAUUUCCCGUGCAAAUGAUGCAAAAAUCUGGAUUUGUGGUUAUAGUGCCAGUAUAAUGAAUCUUUACAACCUGCAAGGGGGACUAGUUAAGUCAAUCCAAACCAAGUCAGGGAACGAGCCAUGGGACAUAGCAGUGGCAAGAAGUGGAGAUCUAGUUUAUACUGAUGACAAUGAUAGAACUGGGAACAUAGUGAAGAAUGCACAGAUACAGACAGUGAUCCGACUACAGGGGUGGAAACCUCACGGUGUUUGUAGUACCUCCUCUAACGAACUCAUGGUUAUUAUGGAGUGUGACGAUAAAAAACAAACAAAAGUUGUGUGUACAGAGAAACAAAAUAUUCAGUACAAUGAAAAAGAGCAACCUCUCUAUUCACCUGGUUGUGACGUUAAAUACAUCAACGAGAACAGGAACCUAGAUAUCUGUGUGUCAGAUAAUAGAGCCCGUGCAGAAGUAGUGGUCAAUUGGGCCGGGAAACUCCGUUUUACCUACACUGGUAAUCUCUUUGCUAAAAAGAGGUCAUUUGAUCCAGUCUGCAUCUCAACAGACAGCCAAAGUCGGAUCUUGACAGCAGACCAAAACACGAACCGUAUCCACAUCCUGGAUCAGGACGGACAGUUCCUCCGCUACAUUGACAACUGUGAUCUACACCAUCCCUUUGGUUUAUGUUUUGACACAAGCGACAACCUGUUUGUAGCUGAAUAUUUCACAGGUAAAGUGAAGAAAAUCAAAUAUUGUGUGUAGAUAAACUAAUAUAUACAUUUGUACGUUUCCACCGGCAAACAACCGUAUGAACAUGUGACAUUGAAACAGACUGUUAGACUGUCAAAGUACAUGUAAUAGUUUAUGGAGGAUACUGUAAAUUCCUUAUUUUAAGUGAGUACUUAAUUCCGCUGGUUUGUAUCAAAUCGAGGACAUAAAAUCGCAAACGGUGAACUUUUCUCCUUAUUUUUUUUAUAGUUUCAACCCUCAGAAAAUAAUAGGCGAGAUUUUGAAUUUCGCGAAGGAUGCUUUUCGCAAUUUAACUCGGAUAUUAAUUCCUCGCGUUUAAUUAGGAAUUUACAGUGUCUAUAUUAUGUGAUUUUAUAUUUAAUAGUUUGUUCUAUCAAACGAGUUAAAAUGGGGUAGACAUUGGCAAAGCUUGCCGAGGAAAUAUAAUCAUGUCAACGAGUUGGACAAGCAAAUAAAACUUCCCAGUC
rnacentral:sRNA from 1 species